GUUCAUAUAUAAAAUUACAUUACAUUCACUUAAUUUAAAAGGAGAGAGAAAAAAGACAAUCUCCACCCACUUAACAUAUUAAUCUAUAUAAAAACUAUUAACUUAUUAAUUUUUUCCUAAUCUAUAAAGAUGAGGAUAGAUUGAGAAUAUUUUUCAAAAGGAGGCUAGAUAGGGAAUUUUUUUUUGUAAAGAGGCUAGACAAGUAAAUUUUUUUUUUUUUUUUGAGAGAUAGGUAGCACGUUACCCGCUUCGUUUAUUUCAUUUAGAAAUAAACAUAGCUAGAAAUGUGAAUCAACUAGAAUUCGAAUUUGGGUCUCGAGUACCAACCACUAAGCCUUUUGCCAUUUGCUCUAGGGACGGUCGAUCGGUGGCUAGACAAGUAAAUGAAUCGAAAAUCUGAUUGGU
rnacentral:lncRNA from 1 species